AAGUCGUAACAAGGUUUCCGUAGGUGAACCUGCGGAAGGAUCAUUAGCGAAGUUCGGAAUGCAUGCUCGGUGUUGAUGCUGCCCAGCAAUGGGAUGUGCUCACUCGGAUGUGUGUCCCUUCUCUAUCCACCCCACUGUGAACCAAGUGUGUGAGCCGAAGAGAAAUCGGACGCUCGCAUGCAAACCUUUAACAUACCCCAAUUAAGUAUUAGAAUGUACCUUGCGUUAACUCGCACAAAUAUAACUUUCAACAACGGAUCUCUUGGCUCUC
rnacentral:misc_RNA from 1 species